rnacentral:lncRNA from 1 species
GAUAUUUUUACAUAUUCAUGUAAGACAAUGUAAAUUGUCUUUCUGCAAUAAAUUUUUUGGAUGCAAAUUUAGAUUUCAAAAGCUUUUUGAUGUUAUAAAGGAGUUGAGGAACAAAAAGCUCUUUGAAAUAGCUCACCUAGACCUGUUAAUGUAAUAUAUUCUUUCUGAAUUAAGCAAAAUUUUUUUUGUCUUUUAAGACUAGAACUAAUCCCUCUAGCUUUUUUACUGGAACUUUGGGGAAAAAGAACAAAUACAAAUAUACAAAUGAUAUGAACAAUAUGGUAAUAAUCUUUUGCAACUUAAUAUGUUACAUAGUCAUAUGACUUGGUCUUGGAAGAAAAAGAAUUGUUUUGGUGCUGAAUAAAUAUUAGAAAUCAAGUGACAGAGAAGAUGAAGGUAAAAUUGUGGCACAGUUUCAGAGAAUGCCGUUAAUGAUAACGUGUUAUUUGUCUCAAAUUCUUAGCCCUGGGCUUGCCUCUUCAGAGUGGGGUUACCGGCGAGAGGGCAAGCAUGUAAUUAAGAGACACUCUAGAGGCAUAUGGAAUAUAGUUUGUAUAAAACAUACCUGCUGAUUAGAAAAAUGGUAAAAAUGAAAAUACCUUUGUACAUCAUCUUAAGAGAGCUUAUAUAUAAACUAAAUGGGCAGGCUCCAUCGUCUACCUUUCUUUUUCUUUUCUUCACAUGUUUAUGUCUUUUUUGUUAUUAGUCAGACAUUUUUAGCCCUCUGUAUGCUCAUUCUUGUAGUUCUAUUUCUAUUGAAACUUCCUCCAAAACUUUUCUCUGAAUUACCCUUGUUGAAACUGACCUUUCUUCCGUGUGAACUCCUACACUUGCAUCUCCUAUUUCAGGAUUUGGCAUACUUUUUCUUUAAUGGGCUAAGAAAGUAAAUAUCUUCAGCUUUGGGGGGCAUAUGAUCCCAAUAGCAUCAACUUAACUCUGCUAACUGGAAGGCAAAAGUGUAUCAUCUUACUCGUCUUUAUAAACUCCACAGCACUCUGCAUAGAUAUGACCAUGUUUAUAAGGAACUCAAUAAAUAAUUUUGACACAAACAUGAAAUUCUAGAAGGGCAGACACUGACAACUAGUAAGGAAGUUGAUCAUGAGUAACUUUGUAUUCAGUGCCACCUUAACAAGAAUUGUAAAGAGGAUAAACCUUUCUAGGAAGGUUGAUGCGUGUUGGGUGAGGAAGGAGCAUCUCUCAGGAGGGUAAACAGUAGCUGUGGUUUUGCUGAGAGAUUUUGGCUGUGAGUGACAAGCCUAUAUCAAAAAGAAAAGUGGCUUAUCAAUCUCAGUUUUUAUUGCUCAAAGCAAUUCUUUACUCCUAUUUUUUCCAAAUUCCAUUGUUUUUACUCUUUAGAGCUCUAUCCUCAGAGUGUAGUCUGCAUAUUUCUUUAUUAUCAUUGCCAUGUGACUUCUUUGGUGACAAGUUCAGUGAUAUUUCAAGCAUGAUGUUUUGAGUUUGAGAAAUGUAUUUGUGAGGACACAUCACUUUAAUUAAAAAAGUGUGAGUAC